rnacentral:rRNA from 1 species
CAGCAGUCAAGAAUAUUAGUCAAUGCUCGCAAGAGUGAACUAGCUAACUGAAAUCAAAGAGUUUUUCAAAACUCCUGAUGUCGUAAGGGAAAAUAGUGAUAUUACCUUACUAAUAGUGUCGUCCAAAUCUGGUGCCAGAAGACUCGGUAAGACCAGAGACGCAAACGUUAAUCAUCAUAAACAGGCGUAAAGGGUUUGUAGGCAGCUUUUAUAAAGAAUAUAAUUAACAAAAUAAAGUAUUCUAAUUGAAAGCUAGAAUCAAAUAUAGGUUAUAGUGUAUAACGCUUAGAGGAGGGCUGAUAUCCUUAGAUCCUAGGCAGAAUACUAAGGGCGAAGGCCACUUUCCAUAAAUGAUUGACGCUGAGAAACGAAGGUUAGGGUAGGAAAUAGGAUUAGAUACCCCGGUACUCCUUUCUGUAAACGAUGAAUGGUAGUCAUUAGUUUAACAAAAACUAGAGGCGAAGUUAACACGAUAACCAUUCCGCCUUGUGAGUACUACUGCAAAGUAGAAAACAAAAAAAUUAGUCGGUCUCGAAGCAAACGGAGUGAAGCAUGUUAUUUAAUU